rnacentral:lncRNA from 13 species
CAAGUUUUCUCUAGCUAGGGCUUGUCUAAAUGCUCCCUCCAUUGGCACCCACAGAGUUCUGUCUGGUGUUUUCCCUUGUGACAGGGCAGCACUGAGUUCCAAUAACUGAGUACAGUAACUGCACUUCCCCUCUUUCAAGUGCACACAUUUUUCUCUCCACAACACGUAGCUGCUGCCAGGGGAUGGAGGAGGGGUGGUGUCUUCAAUUCAAGAUAGUCUUUCCUCCCUUCUUCAAUGACUCUUUCUGUGAUAACGAAGUUAAAAUCUUCAUAUGUUUCUGUGAUAUGAAGUUAAAACCAGCAUGAACACUCUCACCAGAUGUAAGCACCAUGCUUUUGGACUUCUCAGACCCCAGAAUGAAUUGCUGAUUGUCUCCAAAGUGGCUGCAGCAUUUUACAUCAGUAACAGCAAGGUCUGCAGAUUCUAAUUCUCCACAUCCUUGGCAACACUUGUUAUGACAAAAUCUCACUCUGUCACCCAGACUAGAGUGCAACUGGUACAAUCUCGACUCACUGCAACCUCCGCCUUCCGGGUCCAAGCGAUUCUCCCACCUCAGUUCUUCACUUUUUCGGAAACAACGAUAGCACAUAGCAGCCAGAGUGAAAGGAAUACAGAGCCAGAGUCCAGAUCAGCAUGGUCAUUAACUG